rnacentral:tRNA from 1 species
ACCCGGUUAACCUAGUGGUCAGGUGUUCAACUCACAAUUGUUCACUCUGGGUUCGAGUCCCAUCGGGGUU